rnacentral:piRNA from 1 species
UACUAUGAACUUGACUUUGAUGC